UGGGGAAUUUUGGACAAUGGGCGAAAGCCUGAUCCAGCAAUGCCGCGUGUGUGAAGAAGGCCUUCGGGUUGUAAAGCACUUUUGUCCGGAAAGAAAUCCUUGGCUCUAAUACAGUCGGGGGAUGACGGUACCGGAAGAAUAAGCACCGGCUAACUACGUGCCAGCAGCCGCGGUAAUACGUAGGGUGCAAGCGUUAAUCGGAAUUACUGGGCGUAAAGCGUGCGCAGGCGGUUUGCUAAGACCGAUGUGAAAUCCCCGGGCUCAACCUGGGAACUGCAUUGGUGACUGGCAGGCUAGAGUAUGGCAGAGGGGGGUAGAAUUCCACGUGUAGCAGUGAAAUGCGUAGAGAUGUGGAGGAAUACCGAUGGCGAAGGCAGCCCCCUGGGCCAAUACUGACGCUCAUGCACGAAAGCGUGGGGAGCAAACAGGAUUAGAUACCCUGGUGGUCCACGCCCUAAACGAUGUCAACUAGUUGUUGGGGAUUCAUUUCCUUAGUAACGUAGCUAACGCGUGAAGUUGACCGCCUGGGGAGUACGGUCGCAAGAUUAAAACUCAAAUGAAUUGACGGGGUCUUAGCUG
rnacentral:rRNA from 1 species